UACGUAGGUGGCAAGCGUUGUCCGGAAUUAUUGGGCGUAAAGCGCGCGCAGGCGGUCCUUUAAGUCUGAUGUGAAAGCCCACGGCUCAACCGUGGAGGGUCAUUGGAAACUGGGGGACUUGAGUGCAGAAGAGGAAAGCGGAAUUCCACGUGUAGCGGUGAAAUGCGUAGAGAUGUGGAGGAACACCAGUGGCGAAGGCGGCUUUCUGGGCCUUACCUGACGCUGAGACGCGAAAGCGUGGGGAGCGAACCGG
rnacentral:rRNA from 1 species